AGCGAACGCUGGCGGCAGGCCUAACACAUGCAAGUCGAACGAACCUUUCGGGGUUAGUGGCGGACGGGUGAGUAACACGUGGGAACGUGCCUUUAGGUUCGGAAUAACUCAGGGAAACUUGUGCUAAUACCGAAUGUGCCCUUCGGGGGAAAGAUUUAUCGCCUUUAGAGCGGCCCGCGUCUGAUUAGCUAGUUGGUUGAGGUAAUGGCUCACCAAGGCGACGAUCAGUAGCUGGUCUGAGAGGAUGAUCAGCAACAUUGGGACAGAGACACGGCCCAAACUCCUACGGGAGGGAGCAGUGGGGAAUCUGGCGCAAUGGGCGAAAGCCGAACGCAGCCAUGCCGCGUAAAUGAUGAAGGUCUUAGGAUUGUAAAAGUCUUUCACCGGGGACAAUAAGAACGGUACCCGGAGAAGAAGCCCCGGCUACUUCGUG
rnacentral:rRNA from 1 species